ACAAGCGGCGGACGGGUGAGUAAUGCCUAUGGAUCUGCCCACUCGAGGGGGAUAACAGUUGGAAACGACUGCUAAUACCGCAUACGCCCUACGGGGGAAAGGAGGGGACCUUCGGGCCUUUCGCGAUUGGAUGAACCUAGGUGGGAUUAGCUAUUUGGUGAGGUAAUGGCUCACCAAGGCGACGAUCCCUAUCUGUUCUGAGAGGAUGAUCAGCCACACUGGGACUGAGACACGGCCCAGACUCCUACGGGAGGCAGCAGUGGGGAAUAUUGCACAAUGGGGGAAACCCUGAUGCACCCAUGCCGCGUGUGUGAAGAAGGCCUUCGGGUUGUAAAGCACUUUCAGUAGGGAGGAAAGGUAAUAGCUUAAUACACUAUUACUGUGACGUUACCUACAGAAGAAGGACCGGCUAACUUCGUGCCAGCAGCCGCGGUAAUACGAGGGGUCCGAGCGUUAAUCGGAAUUACUGGGCGUAAAGCGUACGCAGGCGGUUCAUUAAGCUAGAUGUGAAAUCCCCGGGCUCAACCUGGGAAUUGCAUUUAGAACUGGUGAACUAGAGUCUUGUAGAGGGGGGUAGAAUUUCAGGUGUAGCGGUGAAAUGCGUAGAGAUCUGAAGGAAUACCGGUGGCGAAGGCGGCCCCCUGGACAAAGACUGACGCUCAUGUACGAAAGCGUGGGGAGCAAACAGGAUUA
rnacentral:rRNA from 1 species